GUGCGCCAUCCACUCGUCGGCGCUGUCAUGGCGGGUGUGCUGAAGAAGACCACUGGCCUUGUGGGAUUGGCUGUCUGCAAUACUCCUCACGAGGUAUGUACCUUUGUUCUUUCUUCAUUCCUGAAUUCCCAAGGAAGACUAAAUUCCUGCACUUUGCUUAUUGCAGGGUUAACGGGAUACAGAUGUUUCAAGCCUUUAAUUACAACCCGCGUGAGCUCUUGAGACACGGGCGCUGUCCACCUACUUCGUUGAUCCGAUGUCACAUUUUUAAUUUUUGCCAUGACCUCUUUAUUAAGCCAGUUUUCUUGUUGACUUUUUCCUUGACAUUUUCGUGGCUUCACUUGUACUUGCUUCUGUCAGCGCCAUCUCAAAUUUAUAUCUCCAUUUUCCAUCUUUUCUCCCUGCCUUACCGUUUCUGCUUAGGUGCGUUGGAUUACAUAUAUUUAGGCUUACUAAAGGUACUGCCCCCUUUUCCUUCUAUUAGGUCUUUUCCAUCUGUAUUCACGAAUGUUUUCAUCAAAAAAAACCCACAAAAUUUUUUUUUAUCCUUCUUGUCCCUUUUAUAAUCGCACCAUUUCUUUGCUUCACUUUACAGGUAACUCAAAAGAGUUAUCUCUAUUUUCUCCAAUUUCUUUCUUACUCACCCUUGAAUGCACUCAGUCACCCUUGCGUUUUUCAAGUUCACCAGUUAUCUCCAUGCUGCGAAAUCCAAUGGUCAGCUUAUGUUUCUCACCUUCAUUGACCCAAUAGCAGCGUUUUUUUUUUUUGACACAUUUGACACUUUUUCCAUCAUGCACUUUCUUUACUGGGCUUCAGGACUCCCUCAGUCUCCUGAUAUUUUCCCCCUACUCUUUGGCUUUCUCUUUUUCUGGUUAUUUCUCUUAUGCCCACUUUUAAAAUUUGAGUUACUCAGGAUUUAGUUCUUGGACCUUUUCUUUUGGAUCUGUACUCUGUCACCAAGAGAGAGCAAAUCCAAAUAGAGAACGGUUUUAAAUACCACCUAUACACUGACAACAGAUUUCCAUGUAAAGCACUGACCUCUUCCUUUAUGAAAGUCCUGAAUAUUUAAUUGCUUAGUGGGCAUCUCCACUUGUAUGUGUCAGACAGGCAACCCAAACUUAACAUGUCCAAAAUGGGGUUCCUGAUCUUCUGCCUAAAACCUGCUCUUCUCUCAGGCUUGCUCAUCUCAAUUAAUGGCAGCUCAAUUAUUUUGACUCAGGUCAGAAACUUGAAAUCAUCUUUGAUUCCUUCCUUUCUCUUACACUCCACAUUUGUUAUUUCAGUAAAUCCUCUAGGUUCCACCUUCAAAAUAUAUCUUGAUUUUGACAACAUCUCACUACCUCCUCUGCUACGACCCUCUUCCUCAGUCACCAUCAUCACUGAUGUGGAUAAUUGCAUUCACUUCUUAACUGCCUCUCAAUGCUUGUCACAGCCUCCAUUUGGUCUUUUUUUCCAGCCAGGCUACUAGAGUUAGUCUGUUAAAAUAUGAGGUAGGUCAGAUCUCUCCUUUCCUUAAAACUAAUGGCUUUCCAUUUCACUCUAAAUAAAGACAAAUUUCUUAUUGUGACCCUCUGGUUCACUAUUCUACUGAUUUAUUUUGUUGUCUCUACUAGAAUGUGGGUUUCAUGAAGGCAGGGAUUUUUAAUUGUUUCGCUGCUAGAACUCUGUCACAUAGUAUGUGCGCAGUAAAUAGUGUUAGUUGAAUGAGUGUCUUGCACUUACUAUGAUUUCAUAAUAACUUUAUUGUCAUUGAUGUAAAGAACUGAACUCAUGGUUUUUCCCUUCUAAAUAUAUUUCUUCCUCUGUGGGCUGUAUUUUUCUUGAUAGUUUCAGAUCUUUCUACUCCCUAGGCUGGGAAUUUGGACAUCAUAGUUGGUAUUUCUCUUAUACUUGUACUCUCAUAUUCAUUCCAAUGAUGAUUUUUAUUUUUAUUUUUUUUGCUGAUCCUUUUCUAUAACAGCUCUCCAGUCUGACUUCUGUUUACUAUUUCUAUUGUUACUACCAUAGUUCAGAUUCUUGUUCUAGUAGAGAAUUGCAACAACCUCCUUACUGGCCUUUCUGCCUUGUUACUCCUUCAGUCCUUUUAACUCACUACAAUGAAGCUAAUUUUCCUAAUCUAAUCAUAUGAUUUUCCUAAAUCUUUUAAUUGUCCACAGAAUAAAGCCCGAAUGCUUUAACUUGGAAUGCAGAACCACUUAUAAUGUGACAUUUUCUCCAACUUUAUCUCCUAUGCAUUUCCUUAUGUGUCCUGUACAGCAGUACAUUCCAAAAUCCCCAGUGGAUGUCUGAAAACCACAUAUAGUACCAAACUGCAUAUAUGCUAUGUUUUUUUCAUACAUACCUAUAAUAAAGUUUAAUUUAUGAAUUAGGCACAAUGAGAGAUAAGCAGGCUGGACGUGCUGGCUCACGCCUGUAAUCCCAGCACUUUGGGAGGCUGAGGCGGGUGGAUUGCUUUAGCCCAGGAGUUUAAGACCAGCCUGGGCAACAUGGCAAAACCGCAUCUCUACAAAAAAUGUGAAAAUUAGUCAGGUGUGGUGGUGUGCACCUAGUCCCAGCUACUCGGGAGGCAGAGGCAGGAGGAUUGCUUGAGCCCCAGAGGUUGAGGCUGCAGUGAGCUGUGAUGAUGCCAUUGCACUCUAGCCUGGGUGAUGGAGUGAGACCCUGUCUCAAAAAAG
rnacentral:sRNA from 1 species